rnacentral:rRNA from 1 species
GCAAGUCGAACGAACCCUUCGGGGUGAGUGGCGCACGGGUGAGUAACGCGUAGGAAUCUACCUGGUAGUGGGGGACAACUUGUGGAAACGCAAGCUAAUACCGCAUACGCCCUAAGGGGGAAAGCGGGGGAUCUUCGGACCUCGCGCUAUUGGAUGAGCCUGCGUAAGAUUAGCUAGUUGGUGGGGUAAAAGCUCACCAAGGCGACGAUCUUUAGCUGGUCUGAGAGGAUGAUC